GGGCCCGCACAAGCGGUGGAGCAUGUGGUUUAAUUCGAUGAUACGCGAGGAACCUUACCAGGGCUUAAAUGUAAUGGGACAGAUUCAGAGAUGAAUUUUUCUUCGGACUCAUUACAAGGUGCUGCAUGGUUGUCGUCAGCUCGUGCCGUGAGGUGUCAGGUUAAGUCCUAUAACGAGCGCAACCCCCCAUCGUUAGUUGCCAACGAGUAAUGUCGGGAACUCUAACGAAACUGCCGGUGCAAACCGUGAGGAAGGUGGGGAUGACGUCAAAUCAUCACGGCCCUUACGUCCUGGGCUACACACGUGCUACAAUGGUCGGUACAGAGAGCAGCCACUUCGCGAGAAGGAGC
rnacentral:rRNA from 1 species